AUUGAAGUUCCGGUGCCGUUGUAUGCUGGUUGAGAGAGCUCAGGGGAUUUCAAGUUAAAGUGACUUUAUGUAACUUUUAAAUGUUUCUGAAACUUUGUAG